AGGCGGUAUUGUCAUACACACAAGAACGCCUGCACUCACACAUGCGUGUGCACACCAAUCAGUACACUGGGAAGAGGAGAGACUCGUACUGAGUGGCUUCUCAAUGGGAGAGAAGAGCUGAGAGGAGAGAGGGACGGAGAGAGCGAGCGCACGAGAGAAAGAGAGAGAGAGAGAAGUGCCGUCGCAUGUGCAAGACCAAAAAGUGAAGAGGCAAAUUAGCUUCUCAUCCCCUAAAGAAGCUUCACCUUCAGACAGAAGCGUGAGGAGGCUGAGAAACAGGAGGAAGACGUUGCUUCUCUGGUGAUUUAAAGGUGACAUGACAAGCCUCUUGUCCCUCAAAUCCCAGCUAGUCCCUGACAGCGUUUCACAGCUGUGACGGGAGUUUCUGUUGUCUGGUGCCUGACUGUGUUGGGUGGAUUGCAGCCAGGAGGACUUACAACAGAAGAGGGGAUCAAGGGCAGGAGUGGGAAAAAAAGUCUCCUCAUCCCCCCUCUGACCCGCAGAUCCAAACAGGAACUUUUGCUGGGAAGCUCUUUCCGGAGAGCAUGGAUGGAUUUAUGACUAUGUGCUAAGGAUAUUGGAUGAACAGCUGACAGCACGUUUCUUUAACGUUCUCCUCACGGUAUUUCAAAGCCGGUGCUCCUGCCAUGUCCUGGCUCCUGUGUCUGUGGAUAAGUGUUAGCUGCUUACUGCUGUGCCACGCCACUUUGUAUGAGACCAUCCAACAGCAUCAUGUGACCCGCCCGGGCCGCAACGCCAUACAGAUACUGGAGGGAGGAACAUGUGAGGUCAUUGCAGCACACCGAUGUUGCAACAAGAACCGCAUUGAGGAGCGUUCCCAGACUGUCAAGUGCUCGUGUUUACCGGGAAAAGUGGCCGGAACAACACGGAACAAACCCUCCUGUGUAGACGCCUCCAUCGUGAUUGGGAAGUGGUGGUGUGAGAUGGAGCCGUGUCUGGAGGGAGAGGAGUGUAAGACACUACCAGACAACUCCGGCUGGAUGUGUUCCUCUGGGAACAAGAUCAAGACCACGAGGAACACCCAGCCAUAUUCAACUUUUUAGCUCUGAGGGCCACCGAAGCUGGCUCGCCAGAAGCUCAGCGAUGUCCUUCUCCUCAUCAAGAGAGGGACCCCUCCUUGACUGUAGCUCCAGACAAGGCAGGCCUCUUUUGAGGAAGGCACACAGUGAAAGAGGCUGAGAGACACCCUCACCCUCGCCGUGCAUAUACCUACUUAUACCUGUUCCUAAUGGCUAUAUCAUUACAUUCCUUAAAAUACAACCAAAAUCAAUGCGUAAACACAAAGACAAGGUUUACAUCGUCCCCCAGUUCAUGUAUCUUCAUCUGCCUCAUUUGAGGGAAGAGUUGGACUCAAACUGUAUAGCUAUUGUACAGCUGUGAGCCAUUUUCUCCAGGCUGGAUAAAUCACCUCAGGACUGGCCCUUUAAUCCAGCGUCAGAGGCCAGAACAAAGCAUCCCAAUCUCAUUAGUAUUUAUAGGUAUCCAUACAUACAUUUGGAUAGAUGGUGAAGUGUACAAUAUUGACAUAUCGACAGCAUCUAAACUAUAUUCAGGAAUGCAGAGAUUUAGAAACAAAUAUAUGAUCCCUUUAUAUUUAUAUUAUACACAUCUGUAUAGUUAAAGUUUACAACUUUAGACAUUUUGAGGACAUAACCCCACAAAAAAAUAAAAAUAAAAAAGGCAGAUAAAUGUACAAUGACAAUAAUUUUAAUAACAAUUUACCAUACUAUUAUAUUGAUAUUUUAUUUAUUAUUUUUAUUGCAUUUAUUAUGAUAGGACAGAGCAGAACUGACAGGAAGCAAAGUGAGAUAGGGGCAGGAAAGUUUCCAGGAGUCAGGAUUCGAACUCAGGACGCCCGUGGUGCAACGGUGCUGUAUGUCGGCGUGCUGCCCACAAAGCUAUCGGCACCGACUUAUCAGUGUUGGGUGUAACUAGUUACUAAGAAAUUAGUUACUGUACUUUAAUUACUUUUCUUUAUUUUUUCUUUAAUUAAAUUACAGUUACUUCUAUGCAAUUGAACUUAAUAAUGUGUAUAGACUGUAGAACAUUUAUUUACAAUACAAUACAAUAGUGGAUUUAACAUCAAAAUUUUAAGUCUAACCUUAAAGUGCAUGCUUUUUAUGUACACUUCUCACUUAAAUACUUUGGUGAGUUAAUAAGAAUAUUGGGAACACUUUAUUGUCCAAAUCUCACUAUUAACUAGUUGGUUAUUUGCAUGAAUAUUACUGGGGUAUUGGCUGUUUGUUGUUACUUAAAAAGCACAUAUUAAUGUCUUAUUCUGCAAGACCUUAUUCUAAAUCCUUAAUCCUACCCAAUUCUUAAACUUAAUUGUCAACAACUACUUUAUUACGUAUUAAUAAGCAGUACUUAUGAUUAUAUUGAGACAAAAGUAUACUGUAGUUAGUUAAUAGUGACAAUUGGACCCUUAUCUAAAGUGUGACGAGAAUAAUCUAUUAUUUAUUUGAAAGAAUUUAAAGAACUGUUUCAUGUCUAUCCUCAUUCAUUAACUUUGAUAUAGAAUUUAGAAAGUAAUUAGUAAUAAGUAAUUAAAUACUUGUUGGAGAGAGUAAUUUGUACAGUAAUCUAAUUACACUGUUGAAGAUGUAGUUAGUAGAUAGUAAUUAAUUACUUUUUUGAGUAACUUACCCAACACUGCGACUUAUAUCAAUAUUUAAAAGUCUUUUUUCAUGAAGUUGUUGGAUAGAAGACAUUGAAAACCAAACAUUGUAUCGCUUAAAAGUUUCAAUGAUACAAAGUCACAGUGGAAGGGUCGAAUUGUCUUUGAGUUAAACUGUGGUCUUUCUCACACAAAUCUAUCAAGUUUUAUGGGGACUUGAAAUGUAUGAAUAGAAUGGAUUACAUGUUUUAUUAUUAUUAUAAUUAUUAUAGAGUAUUUGGCAUUCUUUACUUACUUUAAAAUGACUUGAAUAUGGCAGCAGAAAUUGUAAAGCAGGUUGAGAUAAAUGCUUUAAAUACAGUAAAUGUGAUGGCAUUAUAUUUUAUAAAUCUACAUAUUUCAUAAAUCUCUUCAUUUGUAUACAGUAAAGUCAACCUAUUAGUUCCAUUAAUUCAAUAUUAUAUUAAGUUCAGAAACAUUUCAUACGUCUAAGGUUGUUUAUAUGUUAAAUCUAAACAUUUUAGAUAUUGUCAAUGUUAAUAUUGUACAUUUCUGUGUCUAAGUACAUGUGCAAAACUGUACAUGUCCUAGAACUACAUUUAAUGAGAUCACAUUGUGAUAACGAGUGUGAGUAGUCAAAUCCAACCAAUUUGUCCACUAAACCGGCUUUUUUUCCCCUGCAUUUUCCACAAAUACUUUUACACGUAAAAAGUAUGUUUAGUUCUGAGAAAUUGUAAUGGCUUGCUGUUUCCUCUCCGUUUCCUCAUUUGUCUUUGAAACACACGUUCUUAACAGGAGGCUUUUUACUAGAUACCUGUACUGUUUAAAGAAUCCCAUCUGUGUGGAUUUUCAGAGCAAAAGUAAUCUGCCAAGUGAUGGUUUAAGAUUAAAUCACAUGAUGAUUAAGUCAGUUUGUCCCAAGAGUGCUGUUGAACCCAGAGCUUUGACUGUAUCUGUAUCUCUUUCGGCUGUCAAUGUCACAUUAAAUUAAUUCUAACACA